UACGGAGGGUGCAAGCGUUGUCCGGAUUUAUUGGGUUUAAAGGGUGCGUAGGCGGCUUUUUAAGUCAGUGGUGAAAUACUGCAGCUCAACUGUUAGAACUGCCAUUGAUACUGGGAAGCUUGAGUACAGACGAGGUAGGCGGAAUUGACAGUGUAGCGGUGAAAUGCUUAGAUAUUGUCAAGAACACCUAUUGCGAAGGCAGCUUACUAGACUGUAACUGACGCUGAGGCACGAAAGCGUGGGGAGCAAACAGG
rnacentral:rRNA from 1 species